rnacentral:rRNA from 1 species
UAGGGAAUCUUCGGCAAUGGACGAAAGUCUGACCGAGCAACGCCGCGUGAGUGAAGAAGGUUUUCGGAUCGUAAAACUCUGUUGUUAGAGAAGAACAAGGACGUUAGUAACUGAACGUCCCCUGACGGUAUCUAACCAGAAAGCCACGGCUAACUACGUGCCAGCAGCCGCGGUAAUACGUAGGUGGCAAGCGUUGUCCGGAUUUAUUGGGCGUAAAGCGAGCGCAGGCGGUUUCUUAAGUCUGAUGUGAAAGCCCCCGGCUCAACCGGGGAGGGUCAUUGGAACCUGGGAGACUAGAGUGCAGAAGAGGAGAGUGGAAUUCCAUGUGUAGCGGUGAAAUGCGUAGAUAUAUGGAGGAACACCAGUGGCGAAGGCGGCUCUCUGGUCUGUAACUGACGCUGAGGCUCGAAAGCGUGGGGAGCAAACAGG